UGCUGUUGUUUGCUAUUGGAUUUUUGAAGGAGGGGUGGAAUAGGCACCGAAGUGCUAGUUUACCUUAAAACGGUACCUCCAUGGCUAUGCGAGAAUAAAACUGUUAUGGGCCAUUUUCUUCUUCUGGUGGCUUUCAUCGAUACUCCUGCAUGCUUUGUCGGUGCUGGAGGCGAUAGUGAAUCUGUGUUUAUCUUCUGAAAUCUUCUUAGGUGGGCUAGGCUCCUGUUCUUGAUUGAGCUUUAUACUUUGACUUUGGGCUGAGUUAACAUGCUCGCAACUGCUACCAAAGAAGCCACUUGCGCCGUGGGAGUGGCUGACUAGAAGUACUGGUGGAGUUUGGAGUUACAGUGAUUCUUUCUGCAUUUGCGGCAACCCAUUGGCUGAAAUCAGGAGAGGCA